GUUCCGACGUGUGAUUUUCCGAAAACACGAGUCCUAUAUAUAUAUAUUAUAUACGCCUAUAUCGAACUGUCGAUAAAUAAACAUACGUUAAACUUUGAACUAACUAGGCGAUCGUUAGGCCUUUAAUUAUAGCCAGCCGGCACAAUAUACAAUAAUAUAAAUCUAGACGAAAACUAAUUGCGAAUUUAAAAAAACACUACAACCAUUCCAUUUUAAUAUCCGAUUAAAUAAUUGAUAUCGAAUUUCUCCAGGUAUAAUCGACCUAGUGUAAUGAUUAUAAUAUUGAACCAACUAAUUAAUUUUAUAAUAUAUCUUACAUGUAUAGAUACGCAACGUAUAAUAUGGAGGAAAAUUUAAAAAAAAAAAAAAAAAGAAACGAAAAAGAGUAUGAGAUAACUGAAUAAUAAAGAGCAAAAAAAAAAAAAGAAAGACAAACCGCUGAUUGUAUCUAGAUUAUAUAGUGAAGUUUUCAAAAACGCUGAUAUUAACUCGUAUCAUGUAACGGAUAAAUGAAAUUAUUACUCUAUAACGAUCACAGUUUUACAACGUAUAAAAAAUGUCUUGAAAUAUCUUUUUUAAACAGCUGACUUUACUAAGUGUAACAUCAAUAAAAUUUGGAUAGAAAAAAAAAAAAAA
rnacentral:lncRNA from 1 species